UAUGGGCUGGCUCACCACUGCGGGAUGGUGGGGAAAGGCUGGAAGUUAGAAAUUCACUGCAGAGGGAAUUUCAGACUUCUUCCCCCUCCCUUCCGGGACUGCAGGAAAUCUGCACUGCAAAACACCUCAACUGAGAUAGCGUCAGCUCAGCAGAACUGCAGGAGACCACAGAACUUUUUUGCUGAUUGCUCUGCCGAAGUGUCACUUCUCCCGGGCCCCAAAGGCCUCUCCGGGACCCCCAGGAGCGCACUGACAGAGCUCUCCCCAGGCAGGGCAGGUCACGGCAGCAGCACACAGCCGAACAGACCUAGCACGGUUCACGGGGAUGAACCCUAACCUCAGGCUGAGUGAAGGAACAGCUGACGGAGGUGCUACGCAGUCAGAGAAGCCAAGUGAGGGUGUACGUGUUCUGCAGAUGUCGUCAGAACAGAGCACAGCCUUCAACACUGCUCCCCUGCAUCACCUCACAAGAAAUUUCAAAUAACUGGGAAAGAAAAGGCAGAAGAAUAAGCAGACGCAUUUUAUGAUUCCUCCCCUGCCGCCCCCUCUGCUCUCACGUUGGUGACAGAGGGCCAUGGGAGCAGCCCAGAUUUCAGCAAGGACUGAUCUCCACCAUCCAUGCUGGAUGCACAGCCCUCCUGAAGGCUGAGUUCCCCCACCUGUUCCCUCUCUACUCAUCCCAGCAGAGCGCAGUGACAGCUGAUGGGCCGAGCACUGGGAUCGGGGCGGACGUUUACACGUUUGUAAGCACCUGGAAAGCAAACAUCCGCUCAGUGCUGUGCAGCACCAAAUUAUUCACCUCAUUUUUCUUCUGUGUGUGCAUCUGCUGAGACACACAACCUAAAAUUAGAGCAAUCCCCUUCCUGUGUAUGUACGUGUGCCUGUAUAUAUAAAUACCCCUGCGUGCACACAGAUAUAUUUAGCUGGGAAAGGGCGAAGAUGGAACUGCCGAUUACUUCAUGUCUUUAUUCUUUGUUUUCAACUCAUUUUGUGUUCACUCACCCUGGCGUGGAGUCACAAGAGGAAGCCCGUCUGCCUGGCAAAGUUACAUCCAGAUGCUAACGUUGGGACAAUGAUACCAGACUCUGUGAUUAAAAAAAAGGAGACUGUUCUCCACAUCAAGAAGUCAAUAUAUCUCUUCUGUGAAAGAGAGUCUGUGUCUCUGUAUAGCA
ensembl:lncRNA